UGCAGGAUCUCUGCAGCUCACAGUGAAAAUGCUGGACUCUCAACCUAAGUGUCCGUUGAGUCUGACUCAGAGAUUUCUAUUUUCUUACUAUGGACCAUGUGGUCUUUAAUUUCAUCAUCAAAAGCUCUAAAUUUUUAAUUUCUGACCAAGUGGGCAGAAUACCAUUUGUAGGCAAGAAAAGCUCUCCAAAUUAAAAAUCUGUCUACCUGCUUGGAAACAGCAGAAAAAGGAAUAAUUUAUUGUGAAAUCAACCUGCUGUUGAAGCCAGUGAUUGCUUUGUGUGAUUGUGGGUUGAGGAGUGGAGGAGUUAAGGAAUUAAUGCAGAAAAGCAGUGGAAAGGAAUUACAGAUGAGAAAAACUUCUGGUUGAAUUAGGAGUUGUAGAAAUCUGACUAUAAAUUAUUAGCCUUGCUACAAGGCAAUGGUGAAAGCAUUCAGAAGGCAAAAGACAGGCAGAAUAAAAGAAAGUGCGGGAGCUCACUGACUGCUCAGUUUUCAAUACAGUGGAAGAGAAAUAAAUACACUUUGGUGAAAAAUAUCAAGGAGAUUAAGGACUUCAAAAUAUCGGGUCACCCGAGUUUUCUGCUUAUGUUCAGCAGCUCAUAGGAAUCAUGUGAAGAACCAUACCACCUGCUGUAUUUAUUGUGCUUGCUUGUGCUUUAAUCAUUGCCAACAUGCCAAUGUCAUGGCUUUAAUCUUUGCCAACAUGAACUCCAACAGGGUUCAAACAAAGGUGAGAGAUGCCAUGAUUAUGUUAAGGAAACAGGAGACAAUUGGAUUGGGCAGAGAACUACUUUUAAAAGACUGAAAACUGUCCGUAGCUUGGGAGCUCAGCAUUUCUCACCCAGCUUGGACACAAUGGAAGCCAGGGCAUUUGUAACAUUCCUACAGUUACAAACGUGCAAGAGGAUCUGUAUGGAGCACAAGCUCUGUCUUCAGUCUCCUACAAAAAGUGCCGUCUCUUAAGGCCACAAAGAGCCUUUUGGACUCGUGAUCCAGAGGGAGGAAGGCUGCCUGGAAAUUGCCACCCCCGCAACGUCUGUGCUUGGGUUUCCCCAGGGAGAUCUCUCUGCUCUCUCUGAGCUUGGCUGCCCUGACAGAGUCGCACGCCAAGGAGCCUACGGCAGUUUAGUAGUUGGCAAAAAUGAGUUUAGUCCAAGUUGUGCUUAAAAAAUAAUAAAACAGACAUUUUGAUUUUCUCCUCUUAGAAGGCACAUGUAUCUAAAGAAGUUUCCGUACGUAAAACAAACUACAUGAAACUGAAAAAUCAUCUGCAUUGUGAAAAGGUGUUUUCUCUUGGAGUGCUCUCUGAGGGGAAAAGGCACCACCAAGACAGCUUUGAACUAUACAGCUUGGACCCAAGCUUUCUUGGCAUGCAAGACCAAGCAACACCUCAGCAUACUCAAGGCUGGGGAGACAAAAUGCCUUCGUGUUUGCAAAGGGCAAGGGAUACUCCUCCUUCAAGUUUCAUGGCCCUGUCCUAGCCCUGCUUUGUUGCCUGCCAUGCCUGGGGUGAUGGACUCCUCUAUCAGCAUCUGGCUCUGUGCUCGCUACCAUUAUGAACAUUUAAGACAUUAAGAACUAAUAGCACCGGUACUUGGCCUUUAAGCUUGGGAACAUGCAGCAGACAGUUUUAUUCCUGUGCACUGAUUCUAAACCAUUAAUCUUGUUUAUGGAUUUUUAAUAAAAUUUUCUACUCCUUCAAAAGAUUAAGCAGUGCACUUUUGCCUAGGGUAUUUGGAAGCAGUAUAAAAGUAGAAACAAUAUUGGUAGCCCAUUUCUGAUUUUUUUACAGUUUGUUUUAAUUGGUAACCAAGCUUAAAUAUAAUUUUUCAAUGCUGUAUUUUUUUAUUCCAAAUCUUUAAUGUUUUCCAGAUCCACUCCAGGUUCACUGGACUGUGUAGUAACUAUGCCUUAAUUUUGAUUCAGAGGAAAGCACCAUGCCCAUUUUGAGCAUUCCUUAUUUGCUUACUUUUGCUCUUUUAUUUUUAGCUAUAUUU